AUUGAACGCUGGCGGCAGGCCUAACACAUGCAAGUCGAACGAGUGGCGGACGGGUGAGUAAUGUCUGGGAAACUGCCCGAUGGAGGGGGAUAACUACUGGAAACGGUAGCUAAUACCGCAUACCAUCGGAUGUGCCCAGAUGGGAUUAGCUAGUGGGUGGGGUGACGGCUCACCUAGGCGACGAUCCCUGGCUGGUCUGAGAGGAUGACCAGCCACACGGGAACUGAGACGCGGGCCAGACUCCUACGGGAGGCAGCAGUGGAGAAUAUUGCACAAUGGGGGCGAGCCUGAUGCAGCCAUGCCGCGUGUAUGAAGAGGGCCUUCGGGUUGUAAAGUACUUUCAGCGAGGAGGCGUUACUCGCAGAAGAAGCACAGGCUAACUACGUGCCAGCAGCCGCGGUAAUUC
rnacentral:rRNA from 1 species